AUGCCCAAUGAUUAUAAAAAGACGCGUUAUUAUGAGGACCAGUGCUGGGACUCUAGCUUACCUUCCCUCUCUGUUUUUCACUGCUUUUCUCUCAGAUCUUUUUUUCCUUCCUUUCCCUCUUCUGCCCUCCCUUCCUCUGGAGUCUCCAGUGUCCUAUGAGCAAGAUUAUGAGAUAUGAGGGCAG